GGGGCUGAUUCUGGAUUCGACGGGAUUUGCGAAACCCAAGGUGCAUGCCGAGGGGCGGUUGGCCUCGUAAAAAGCCGCAAAAAAAUAGUCGCAAACGACGAAAACUACGCUUUAGCAGCUUAAUAACCUGCUUAGAGCCCUCUCUCCCUAGCCUCCGCUCUUAGGACGGGGAUCAAGAGAGGUCAAACCCAAAAGAGAUCGCGCGGAUGCCCUGCCUGGGGUUGAAGCGUUAAAACGAAUCAGGCUAGUCUGGUAGUGGCGUGUCCGUCCGCAGGUGCCAGGUGAAUGUAAAGACUGACUAAGCAUGUAGUACCGAGGAUGUAGGAAUUUCGGACGCGGGUUCAACUCCCGCCAGCUCCACCA
rnacentral:tmRNA from 4 species